GGUGAUCCUGACAUUGUCUCAAAACGUUCAGGGACUCCUCAUUGCCUACAAGUCCCAGGUUUGCCACUGCCUUGCUUCGUGGUUCUGGGUCCUGGACAUCACAAAUCAAGAGGCUGAAACUUGCCCGUCUGACCUUUUUGUGACGACGAAAAGUUGAGGACCGAUGUGGAUCUGGGUGAGACUGUAUUAAAGGCAGAUGUAAAAUUGUUUCUGCUAAGCACUGCUACCUUCUGCAACUGAAAGCUUUCCUUGGAAAUUCUUCUCAGCGAGGGCUCCCUUCUGCCAUCAAAACAAUGUCCUUUCCAUGCACCUUGAGAAGCGCAGCUCAGCCACUGGACACCUGGGACCGUUUCAAAGUUCAGCCCAGUCAACCUU